CAUUGCGGGAAGCUUACACAUGCAAGUCGUACGGGUGGAACUUGUUCCAUCUAGUGGCGGACGGGUGCGUAACACGUAAGAACCUACCUUUUGGAGGGGGAUAACAUUGGGAAACUGGUGCUAAUACCUCGUAAUACUGAGGAGUUAAAAGCGGGUAUCCUGCAAGGGAGCUACGCGCCAAGAGAGGGGCUUGCGGCUGAUUAGCUAGUUGGUGGGGGUAAUGGCCUCCCAAGGCCACGAUCAGUAGCUGGUCUGAGAGGACGACCAGCCACACUGGGACUGAGACACGGCCCAGACUCUUACGGGAGGCAGCAGUGAGGAAUUUUCCACAAUGGGCGAAAGCCUGACGGAGCAAUACCGCGUGAGGGACGAAGGUCUGUGGAUUGUAAACCUCUUUUGUUAGGGAAGAUAAUGACGGUACCUAACGAAUAAGCAUCGGCUAACUCCGUGCCAGCAGCCGCGGUAAGACGGAGGAUGCAAGCGUUAUCCGGAAUUAUUGGGCGUAAAGCGUACGUAGGCUGCUAAUUAAGUCUGUUGUCAAAGCGCGAGGCUCAACCUUGUAAAGGCAAUGGAAACUGAAUAGCUAGAGAGAGAUAGGGGCAGGAGGAAUUCCAGGUGUAGCGGUGAAAUGCGUAGAUAUCAGGAAGAACACCAGUGGCGAAAGCGUCCUGCUGGAUCUCAACUGACGCUGAAGUACGAAAGCUAGGGGAGCGAAUGGGAUUAGAUACCCCAGUAGUCCUAGCCGUAAACGAUGGGUACUAGGUGUUGGUCGUAUCGACCCGAUCAGUGCCGUAGCUAACGCGUUAAGUACCCCGCCUGGGGAGUACGGUCGCAAGAUUGAAACUCAAAGGAAUUGACGG
rnacentral:rRNA from 1 species